UAUUGUUCUACAACUGUCAGGCGGUGGGUAACUGGUGCAGUGAAUCAGGCGCAGGAGAGCAGAAAGGACUGUACAAGGUAUUUAAUUCCACGACAGCACCAGUAUACAGAAAAUACUCAAGGUGCGGCGAAAUACCGGUCACUCGAAAAUAACGGGCGUAAAUACAUAACCCGGCAAACAUAACCAGCCGACAAGUACCGACAUGAACAAUCAAUUAACACGCACACUAACAUGUGGAAAACAGAGGGUAAAUAAUGAACAUGUAAUUGGGGAAUUGAAACCAGGUGUGUAGAAAACAACAAAAACAAAUGGAAAAUUAAAAAUGGAUCAGCGAUGGCUGGAAGACCGGUGACGUCGACCGCCGAACGCCGCCCGAACAAGGAGAGGGACCGACUUCCGCGGAAGUCGUGACAACAACCUAGAAAAAUCAAAACCCUUGAUUAAGUAGGAUAGCCUGGUUUACUGCACGACUGUCGGUGCAUCGAGAACCCAGCGUUCUUACUGACGUGGUGAUGUCAUAUUAGUACACGACAGAUGGUUCCUCUCGAGUCCUGCAUAAUGUCCCUCAGGGGUCCAUCUGCACACUUUGCACUAUGUAAAUGAGUAGCCUAUGCGCAAUUACGUGCAGAAUAUGCAUUGUGAACACUUUGUUGAACUAACCACAACGAAGGUUGUUAAAGCUGCAUUAAGUUAAUGGACAGUGCUGUGUUGUUUGCCAAAGUCCCAUCAAUUCACGAAAGUGUCUGAUAUUGCAUUCGUUUGUGGGAAAAGUGUAUGUUUAUUGUCUUAGCGAAAGCACAGCUGGCCUAGAGAAUGGUUGUAUUGUGUUUUAAAAUGAGCUAGAAUUGAAUAGAAAAACGCAAUUGUUAACACAAUUUGGAAAACAUGUCUCUGUAUAUCUUUUUGAGGGGUAUGGAAUGCAUUUACAGUAUUUCAUUCUAUUCUACCAAUUGCCAAGUGGCACACAGUAACAGUUGAUGAAAAGGCCAAGCCUAAUAGUUGUAAUAUGCACUGUUGCAUUUAUGCACUGACUCUGCGAAUGGGAAUAUUUAUAUUUCAUUAUAUUUACUCGUCAAAGCUCCCAGAGCUAUUAUAGUUUGGAGAAAAAAAAAUGUUGAUGGGUGGAUCAGAAUUUAUGAUAUUGUU